rnacentral:misc_RNA from 1 species
GCAAACUUGGUCAUUUAGAGGAAGUAAAAGUCGUAACAAGGUUUCCGUAGGUGAACCUGCGGAAGGAUCAUUAACGAGUUAGGGUCUUCUCGGCCCGACCUCCCAACCCUUUGUUUACUUGACCAUUGUUGCUUCGGCGAGCCCGUCUUUACUGACCGCCGGGGGACCGUAAGAAGUCCUCUGGUCCGUGCUCGUCGGUGGCCAACUCUUAUAAAUUCUUAACUAAACGUGUCAUUAUCUAAGUACUAUUGUUAAUUAAAGCAAAACUUUCAACAACGGAUCUCUUGGUUCUGGCAUCGAUGAAGAACGCAGC